CAUAUAUACUAUAAUUAUAUGAAUUUACGAAACGCGUACUCGAUAUGGCAAAUGAAAUAGCUGCAUUUUUUGUGGAAUGAAAUUUCGAUAAAAUAACGAAGAAAUUGGGAAAAAUUUUGCAAUAAAAUUGUGAUAUUACAAGAAAUGCAUAAAUGUUAUUAUAUAUUUUUUCAAACAAAAAUGUGAACUAUAUUUGUAUGUCUCUAUUGUAUUUGUUUAUAAUUCGCAAUAACAAAUAAACAACAAGCUUGCAUUAACAGU